rnacentral:sRNA from 1 species
CGGCGGCGCAGUAUUCUAGUCAGAUCUGCCGUUUCCUAGGGAGGGCCUAAAAAUCCUCUGAAGGGCAUAUCGAUGAAACCUCUGGUGCCUGCUUGAGACGCCCAGUCUUGGGUGGGUGCUGGGGGGAAGCGCGCUUCGCGUGCUUGCGGACUCAGGGCGCUUUCCAAUGGCAUGGUUAUUCCGACCCUGUUUUCGUGGAGACCUGUUCUUGUGCGCAGACGUACUCCCAACGUGGUAUUUCCGGCCUGCGUACGAAGCAGAUUGUGAACCUGCAAUGCGGUGCAUCGGCGAUAGAGCCGUAACGCUGUGUGCAGACGUAGCCUGCCUUGCGUGGGUGUGGUGGAUGAGAGGUCAGGCCGUCGUGUCUCUGGCCAGAGCAACGGACGGCCCCCUGCUCUCUGAAACCACAUCUGCAAAAGAGGCUAAAGAAGCGGACGGACUGUGGUGGAAAUCACCUAGGCUGUCCUACCGGGGCAGAAAAAGGAUUGCAGUGCGGACUAAGUGGCAAUCGGGUAGCAUGGACGGGCAACGCCAUGCCGCGGCGCUGAAAGGGGAACCGCCUCCAUCGGCAACGAGAGGUGCGCCGCGGGGAAAUCCAACCCGCACCUAAGCCGUAAGAUUUACUUUUUCUGCUGCCGCC